rnacentral:rRNA from 1 species
UGGGGAAUAUUGGACAAUGGGGGCAACCCUGAUCCAGCAAUGCCGCGUGUGUGAAGAAGGCCUUAGGGUUGUAAAGCACUUUCACCCGCGAAGAUGAUGACGGUAGCGGGAGAAGAAGCCCCGGCUAACUCCGUGCCAGCAGCCGCGGUAAUACGGAGGGGGCUAGCGUUGUUCGGAAUUACUGGGCGUAAAGGGCGCGUAGGCGGCUUUGUCAGUCAGGCGUGAAAGCCCCGGGCUUAACCUGGGAACUGCGCUUGAUACUGCGGAGCUAGAGAUCGGGAGAGGAAAGCGGAAUUCCGGGUGUAGCGGUGAAAUGCGUAGAUAUCCGGAGGAACACCAGUGGCGAAGGCGGCUUUCUGGACCGACACUGACGCUGAGGCGCGAAAGCUAGGGGAGCAAACGGGAUUAGAUACCCCGGUAGUCCUAGCUGUAAACGAUGAUCGCUGGGUGUGGGGGGUUUUUACUCCCCCCGUGCCGAAGCUAACGCAUUAAGCGAUCCGCCUGGGGAGUACGGUCGCAAGGCUG